rnacentral:rRNA from 1 species
CCCGACUUCGGAAGGGAUGUAUUUAUUAGAUUAAAAACCAAUGCCCUUUUGGGCUCUCUGGUGAUUCAUAAUAACUUUUCGAAUCGCAUGGCCUUGCGCCGGCGAUGGUUCAUUCAAAUUUCUGCCCUAUCAACUUUCGACGGCUGGGUAUUGGCCAGCCAUGGUGACAACGGGUAACGGAGGGUUAGGGCUCGACCCCGGAGAAGGAGCCUGAGAAACGGCUACUACAUCCAAGGAAGGCAGCAGGCGCGCAAAUUACCCAAUCCUGAUUCAGGGAGGUAGUGACAAUAAAUACUGAUACAGGGCUCUUUUGGGUCUUGUAAUUGGAAUGAGUACAAUUUAAAUCCCUUAACGAGGAACAAUUGGAGGGCAAGUCUGGUGCCAGCAGCCGCGGUAAUUCCAGCUCCAAUAGCGUAUAUUAAAGUUGUUGCGGUUAAAAAGCUCGUAGUUGAACCUUGGGCCUGGCUGGCCGGUCCGCCUCACCGCGUGCACUGGUCCGGCCGGGCCUUUCCCUCUGGGGAGCCGCAUGCCCUUUACUGGGUGUGCUGGGGAACCAGGACUUUUACUUUGAAAAAAUUAGAGUGUUCAAAGCAGGCAUAUGCUCGAAUACAUUAGCAUGGAAUAAUAGAAUAGGACGUGUGGUUCUAUUUUGUUGGUUUCUAGGACCGCCGUAAUGAUUAACAGGGACAGUCGGGGGCAUCAGUAUUCAAUUGUCAGAGGUGAAAUUCUUGGAUUUAUUGAAGACUAACUACUGCGAAAGCAUUUGCCAAGGAUGUUUUCAUUAAUCAGGAACGAAAGUUAGGGGAUCGAAGACGAUCAGAUACCGUCGUAGUCUUAACCAUAAACUAUGCCGACUAGGGAUCGGACGAUGUUAUUUUUUGACUCGUUCGGCACCUUACACGAAAGUANAAGUUUCUGGGUUCCGGGGGGAGUAUGGUCGCAAGGCUGAAACUUAAAGAAAUUGACGGAAGGGCACCACCAGGAGUGGAGCCUGCGGCUUAAUUUGACUCAACACGGGGAAACUCACCAGGUCCAGACACAACUAGGAUUGACAGAUUGAGAGCUCUUUCUUGAUUUUGUGGGUGGUGGUGCAUGGCCGUUCUUAGUUGGUGGAGUGAUUUGUCUGCUUAAUUGCGAUAACGAACGAGACCUUAACCUGCUAAAUAGCCCGUAUUGCCUGCGCAGUACGCCGGCUUCUUAGAGGGACUAUCGGCUCAAGCCGAUGGAAGUUUGAGGCAAUAACAGGUCUGUGAUGCCCUUAGAUGUUCUGGGCNGCACGCGCGCUACACUGANAGAGCCAGCGAGUACUCCCUUGGUCGGAAGACCCGGGUAAUCUUGUUAAACUCUAUCGUGCUGGGGAUAGAGCAUUGCAAUUAUUGCUCUUCAACGAGGAAUUCCUAGUAAGCGCAAGUCAUCAGCUUGCGUUGAUUACGUCCCUGCCCUUUGUACACACCGCCCGUCGCUACUACCGAUUGAAUGGCUCAGUGAGGCUUCCGGACUGGCCUAGAGAGGUCGGCAACGACCACUUCACUUCGGCAAGAAGCGUCUGGACCUCGCGGGGCCUCUGCUUGCCAAGCUCUUCCGCAACAUCAUCAGGAGACUGACCCAGGACCUAUUGCAGUACAUGAAGAAAUGUGUGGAGACGAACAAGAUGUUUACCCUUACGCUGGGUAUCCGGUCAUCCACCUUGACUAAUGGCCUCAAAUAUUCUCUUGCGACCGGAAACUGGGGUGACCAGAAGAAAGCCAUGAGCUCGACGGCCGGUGUAUCCCAGGUGUUGAAUCGAUAUACCUUCGCAUCUACGCUAUCUCACCUGAGGCGCACAAACACGCCGAUCGGCAGAGACGGCAAGCUGGCCAAACCUCGUCAGCUACACAAUACCCAUUGGGGCCUUGUCUGUCCGGCUGAGACGCCGGAGGGACAAGCCUGCGGUCUUGUGAAGAACCUCUCCCUGAUGUGCUACGUCAGCGUGGGUUCGACGGCUGAUCCUAUCAUCGACUUCAUGGUUGCUAGGAAUAUGGAAGUUCUCGAGGAGUACGAACCCCUCCGUCACCCGAAUGCUACCAAGAUCUUCGUCAAUGGCACUUGGGUCGGUGUGCACCAGGAUCCGAAGCAUCUCGUGAGCUUGGUACAGGGCCUCCGUAGGAAGAGCAUCAUUCCCUGGGAAGUGUCGCUCAUUCGAGACAUUCGCGAUCGUGAGUUCAAGGUGUUCUCAGACGCUGGCCGAGUUAUGAGACCGCUAUUCGUCGUCGAACAGGAUGAAAACAAUGACGCCAAAAUCCCCAAGGGCACCCUCGUCCUCAACAAGGGCAAUGUAGCACGGCUUGAGGACGACCAGGCUCUCGGAAAGCUCCAUCCCCAAUACUUCGGGUGGGAGGGCUUGAUCAAGGCCGGCGCGAUCGAGUACCUAGACGCGGAGGAAGAAGAGACGGCCAUGAUCUGCAUGACUCCCGAGGAUCUCGAGAACUACAGGCUUAUGAAGGCUGGGUUCGAUCUCCCCGAGGACGAUCAUGAAGAUCUCAACAGGCGGGUCAAGCCGAAGGUAAACCCGACUACUCGCAUAUACACUCACUGCGAAAUUCACCCGAGCAUGCUCCUGGGGAUAUGUGCCAGCAUCAUUCCGUUCCCCGAUCACAAUCAG